AUUGAACGCUGGCGGCAGGCCUAACACAUGCAAGUCGAGCGGAGCGGCGGACGGGUGAGUAAUGCCUAGGAAUCUGCCUGGUAGUGGGGGAUAACGUCCGGAAACGGGCGCUAAUACCGCAUACUAUCAGAUGAGCCUCGGUCGGAUUAGCUGGUUGGUGGGGUAAAGACCUACCAAGGCGAAGAACAGUAACUGGUCUGCGAGGAUGAUCAGUCAAAGUGGAACUGAGACACGGUCCAGACUCCUACGGGAGGCAGCAUGGGGGAAUAUUGGACAAGGGGCGAAAGCCUGAUCCAGCCAUGCCGCGUGGGUGAAGAAGGUCUUCGGAUUGUAAAGCACUUUAAGUUGGGAGACGUUACCAACAGAAUAAGCACCGGCUAACUUCGUGCCAGCAGCCGCGGUAAUUC
rnacentral:rRNA from 1 species